rnacentral:misc_RNA from 1 species
CCUAGAGUAUGUAGGGCUUUGCCUGCUAUCUCUUACCCAUGUCUUUUGAGUACCUUCGUUUCCUCGGCGGGUCCGCCCUGCCGAUUGGACAAUUUAAACCAUUUGCAGUUGCAAUCAGCGUCUGAAAAAACUUAAUAGUUA